rnacentral:rRNA from 1 species
UGGGGAAUAUUGCGCAAUGGGCGGAAGCCUGACGCAGCGACGCCGCGUGGGGGAUGACGGCCUUCGGGUUGUAAACCUCUUUCGACCUUGACGAAGCCUUCGGGUGACGGUAGGGGUAGAAGAAGCACCGGCCAACUACGUGCCAGCAGCCGCGGUAAUACGUAGGGUGCGAGCGUUGUCCGGAAUUAUUGGGCGUAAAGAGCUCGUAGGCGGUCUGUCGCGUCGGUCGUGAAAACUUGGGGCUUAACCCUGAGCUUGCGGUCGAUACGGGCAUGACUGGAGUUCGGCAGGGGAGACUGGAAUUCCUGGUGUAGCGGUGAAAUGCGCAGAUAUCAGGAGGAACACCGGUGGCGAAGGCGGGUCUCUGGGCCGAUACUGACGCUGAGGAGCGAAGGCGUGGGGAGCGAACAGGAUUAGAUACCCUGGUAGUCCACGCCGUAAACGGUGGGCGCUAGGUGUGGGGGCCAUUCCACGGUCUCUGUGCCGCAGCUAACGCAUUAAGCGCCCCGCCUGGGGAGUACGGCCGCAAGGCUA